CGUGGCCCAAGGACAGCUGCGUCAGUACAACUGGAGGUGACAUGAACUGCAGCAUCAGAGGCACAGCAAGCACUGGAGGGUGUCCCAAUGUUAAGUGGUCUUGCUGUCAGCAAAAACCUGCUCUGGUACUGUAUUGAAGUUGGAGGGGUUUCACUAGUUAUAGGAAUAUUUAUUGAGCUGUUCAUUUGUUUGUUUGUUUUAAAGAUUAAUAUCUUGGGGUUUUUUUGUUGUUUGGAUUUUUUUUUUCACAUGAGAUAAACCAUCUAUCUGAGAAAUAAGUCAGCUUUGUGGACAGCCAGUGGAUGUCAAUAAAGUCUUGGCAAACACAAUAGGUAUUUAUUCAGCCUUGCAAAUUAGAAACAUUUCUCUUGCUUGUUUUAUGAAGGGAACAAAAAAAGACAAAUUACAUAGCAGAUGAGCUCUCUUGAUAGUUGGAAUUCGUUAGUCUGGUGGUGAAAACGCUGGGGGAUUUAUGGUGCAGAAAAGUAAAAUAAAAGAUGAAACAGCUUUUCACCAAUAGCAGUGGUUUAAGUUCUUAUUGAAAAUUACUGGGGAAAAAACCCUUUAAAGACAUCUGUAGCUGACUUCACAUUCUCAAUUACUGUCUUGGUAGGCAGUUCUUCCCUUCCUCACUGCAGUAAGUAUUAAUUGUUUUUUCAGCUGGCACACAAUUCCUUUAUGGUUCCUCAGUCUCAUUGCCGUGGGAUAUCUGCAGCAGCUCGUAAAUGAGAUACAUGGCCAAGUGUUGAGUAGGAAGUUCACACUCUUGCUUCCCAUGCUGUAGCCAUUCUGUGAACAGAGGCUUUCUGCAAAGUUAUCAAUCUGUCAUCUUCCCUUGGCUUCACAUUUUAUUAAAAAAAGGAAUUUGAGAAGUUACAGUAAGUUGAACAAUUUGUCAGACGUAACUAACUUGAAGGCUAUUGUCUCCAAAUUACAGGCUGACUCGGUCGUGCAGCCUGUCAUGGAUGGAUCAUAAAGCUGUCAUAAGUAAAUGCUUGAAGAAAAUCCGCUUAGGCAGCUCCUGUGAUGGCAGAACAUGGAAAGGAUGCAAGACACUGAAAAACAGAGAGUUACCUGAUAAAGAGCUGCAGUUGCUGCUUUUUCAAGCAGUACUCAUUUGUGCUGGUAACUGUGGGGCUCAUACACACCUUCUGAUUCACCCUCUUCCUCGAGGAAACUGGGGUUCUUCAUCUACUUCCCUCCGUAUCUCCUAUACUGGAAUUUCUUUGCAUUUCUCCAUGGGGAGGGAUUACAGAUUUGGAGCAGCCUCCAGCCCCCAUCCUAUACCAGGUAGGACCAUGGCUGGGCUUGAUACACAGGGGCUGUUUGUUCAAUUCCAGCACUGGGCAAAUCUGAACAGCUUACUGAGGCACUGCUCUCACCCCCUGACUGCAAAGGGAUGUCAGUAUAUUAGAAGAAUGUGCUUUCCUUUCACUCUUGAGGGUGAGAAAUGGUUUGUGUGACCUUCUCAGCUUCUGCUUUUCACUUUCUCAUUGUAAGCAGCCAUGCUGAUAACCCGACACGCUCUCAGUCAUCAAGUUUCCUGUGCAUAACUAAAGCUCUUCAUAGCUUAGAACACUGGAGGGAAAAUUCCCUCCCUUCUGCCCAGCCAUGGCUAAUAUUUUCUCUUGGGAUUUCUGUUAGCCAUUGGACAUCAACAAUCUGUCAAGAAAUCAGAGCCUGAAUCCUUCUGAGAUAAUGCUGAGAGGGAUCACCUGUUUGAAAAAUACUUUCUGCCUAACUUCAUCUUCCCGCACGCACAAGUGAGCCUGCUGAGUAAGCUCAAGUAUCUCAGACCUUUGUCACCACUUAGAAGGGCACAUAGGAUGUUAAGUCAAUCUUCUUCUUCAGAGAAGCAUCCCCCAUUUCACAGUGGAAAAUUCCCCUGGGUGCUGAGUUAUAAUGAGGUUGGUCACUCACCCAUGUCUCUGUUAUAGUACCAUAUAUAUAUAUAUAUAGUAUAAAACCAUAUAUAUAUAUAUAUAUAGUAUAAAACCAUAGAAUUAGAAUGAUAGAAUGGCUUGGGUUGGAAAAGGCCUUAAAGAUCAUCUAGUUCUAACCUCCAUGCUGUAGGCAGGGUUGCCCCCAAUUAGAUCAGACUGCCCAGCACCCCAUCCAACCUGGCCUUCAGCAUCUCCAGGGAUGGGGAAUCCACAGCAAACCCCUUGUUGCAAAUCCAGGAUAGGCUUCAUUUGUGUGACUGUGGGUUCCCACUAUGAACUGUUGGUGAUACUUUGAGGACAACAGUUCCAAGUCGUGCCUCAUCUUCCUCAUCUCUGGACAGUUUGUGGGUCAUGCGGAAAGGAGCUUCCUUCCCUCAAGUAGAUGUGCGUGGGCAGUGUUUAUGAAAGAAGAGAAAUAAUUUCCCCUUUUGCUUUCCAGGAAAAUAAAUUAGUCUCUUCCAUUCCUGUUUCA
ensembl:lncRNA